AUUGAACGCUGGCGGCAGGCCUAACACAUGCAAGUCGAACGGUAACAGGAAGAAGCUUGCUUCUUUGCUGACGAGUGGCGGACGGGUGAGUAAUGUCUGGGAAACUGCCUGAUGGAGGGGGAUAACUACUGGAAACGGUAGCUAAUACCGCAUAAUGUCGCAAGACCAAAGAGGGGGACCUUCGGGCCUCUUGCCAUCGGAUGUGCCCAGAUGGGAUUAGCUAGUAGGUGGGGUAACGGCUCACCUAGGCGACGAUCCCUAGCUGGUCUGAGAGGAUGACCAGCCACACUGGAACUGAGACACGGUCCAGACUCCUACGGGAGGCAGCAGUGGGGAAUAUUGCACAAUGGGCGCAAGCCUGAUGCAGCUAUGCCGCGUGUAUGAAGAAGGCCUUCGGGUUGUAAAGUACUUUCAGCGGGGAGGAAGGGAGUAAAGUUAAAACCUUUGCUCAUUGACGUUACCCGCAGAAGAAGCACCGGCUAACUCCGUG
rnacentral:rRNA from 1 species